rnacentral:pre_miRNA from 1 species
CAGAUACUCCCUCCAUCCCAAAAUUCUUGUCUUAGAUUUGUCUAGAUACGGAUGUAUCAAGUCAUGUUUUAGUAUUAGAUACAUUCAUAUCUAGACAAAUCUAAGACAAGAAUUUUGGGACGGAGGGAGUACUUG